CCACUCUUCUGCCUCAGUGAGGCUUUUUUGUGAACAUGUUUGGAAUGGCUGUAAUGAGUCUUGCUGUGACAUUCUGACAAAGUUCUAACCUCACUUGGCCACUUGUUCUUUCUUGCUGAACUAAUGCAAUUUGUUACAAAUUAAAAGUCUCACCUAGAAAGAACUAAGGACCAUCAUUCUAGAUCAUUUCUCAUUUUGUCUAUCUUUAUAUCUGAAGUAUAGGAUAGUAAAGGUUCAUCUUGUUAUUUUCAUAGAUGGAGUUAUAGACCAACUAGAUCUGGCCUUACAGAUCUGAGCAAGUACACAAGAACUACCUGGGAAGCUUGUUAAAAAGACAUUCCUACACUCCAUUUCCAAAAACUGCUUCAACAGGUGGGACUCAGGAGUCUGAAAUCUUGUUAAGUAACCUAGGUCAUUCCGAUAUCUGUGGUCAGUUAAUUGCAACUUGAGAGACUGAUCUAGAGACUUGCUUAAGAUUUCAGCCUCAAACUAGAAGCCAGGAUGACUGGCUUAACACCACUGGCAGUAAUACUGAUUUCAUGGGGGUGGUGGUAAGCACAGUAAAGGAGAGUUCAUAGAGGAAACAAUGUUCUCUCAAAGGAAUGAAUUGCUUACUUUGAAAUUUGAUAAUAGUGACAGGCUAUGUAGCAUGUGGGUAGGAGAGAUUUCUUUUGCAAUUAAUGUCAUGUAGAUAAUACCCUGAGAGGUGGCCUUAGCCCUUGAUAUAGGGGCCUCUAGGGCAUAGAGAAAUUCCUGAAGCUGACGGCUAUAACAAAAUCUCACCUCUGGCUACAACGGGUAUCACAACAGGGGAGCAAGUGACCCCACUGGCCAAAGCCAAGGAAGUAUGUAUGGAAACUUAAAUCACUCCUGAGAGACAGCCUUUGUUAAGAAAGCGCAUGUACACAAACCGCACACUGUAGGAGCGAAUUUAUUUUUCAUACAACCUUAAGACCUCUUGACUUUCCUGUUGUCUCUGUCAGGUAAAGCAUUAGUUCAUCAGCUGAUCCAUCCAGAAUUUAGGGGCAGACAUGGAGAGGAAGCUGGAGGAAGUGAGGUAGGGAAAGCAUCAGUGAAAGGAAUUAUCUUGUUCUGUCUGCAUUAUUAUGUCCUGACUUACAUUUUUUCCCCUUUUAUGCAGUACGAAAUAACCAGGAAACAGCCAGAGUCGCCUAUCCACGAAUGGAUUAAGAGCUUUACCCCUGUUCGUGUAAUUUAGGAGCUUGUGGCAACUAGCUUUUUUGUUUUUUUCUAGUUGAGGAAAAAGUGCUGUGCUUCUUACCAUAUACAUUUCUAUCUUUUUUGUUGAACAGGACAGAUUCUUCCAUUUAUUGAGGAUACAGAAGGGAUUGCUAUCUUGCUGUCUUUCCCUAGAUAUCUUGCGCUUAUGGACAAAUAGUUUGAAUGCCAUAAGGCACUUGUAUCUGUGGUAAUGUGCAGGCACUUACUCUGCUCUUCACCUCAGUCUUUUUGUUCCAUCUCUAGGGCAAAGUUUAUCAUUGGUCUUUUGUAAACUUUGGACUCUGGGCCUUUUUACAGCCCACUCUUGUUAUGAGAAUCAAGGGUCGGGGGAGUGUAGUGUAUAGUUGGAACUAAUUCAGGCUUCUGUUUUCAGCACUGUGGUGGAUUAGAUACUCUGAAAAAUACUUUCAACAGAAACAAGAUGCUCGGUAAAAUGUAUUUAUAAAAAAAAAAUCCUUAUAAACACAUUGCUGAACAAGCACAAAAGUAAUGAAUCCAUAGAUCUUCAAAAUGAAGUGAAAACUGGAAUCCUAGGAAGUGAACAACUGCUAAAGCUAGCUUUACUGUUUUUGCCAAACUCAGCAGGCUGUAAACAUCUAUUUUAGUGACUACGCAGGAUAUGGGAAACGAAAUGAAACUAAAGUAAUUGCAGGUAAAGCUGGGAUCCCCUCAGUGUGAAGGUGCACAAGAAAUAAACUCUGUAGAGUAUAAUGGGGGCAGCAAAGAACUUACUUGUUUCAGCCCUCUUGCUGUUACCCCAAGACUGGGUUUGCCUCUUGGUGGGUGUUGAGCCAGAAGAACCAAGCCAAAGUUGGGGAGAAGGGAGGAUUUAUUGCAGCAAGUAAGGAGAACACCAAGGAUCUCUCCCAAAGCAGUGGCUCUAUGAACAGCAAAGUUGGGGAAUUUUUAAGCCCAAGGGUAUAUGCAUAUUCAUAAAGUGGCUUGAGCAGAGGAGAAUUCAGCAUCGAAUUGGGGCUAAGGUUGACAGAGCCCAACCUUCAGCUGAUUGAAGGCAAGAGGGUCAGAAAAGGUUAUUGUCAUCUUCCCUUAGGUUCCAGUGGUUGACUGAUCUUUACCAUUGAAACAGAACUGGGAGUCUUUACAACUGACUUAAUAUUAUCUUUGUUGUUGUUACUUCUCUUGCCUGAUAACAGUUCUUUUGUUCCCUUAAGAUCAUUAUCACUGAGACCUGUUCAAGGGCAAAUAUUGUGGCCAGGUAGAUCACAAAGUGGCUUGGGGCUAAAAUGGCUUCUCUUGUAAAAAGCUACAUUUGGUUCUUUUCCUCAGGGGACCCCCCUACCCUAUCUGCUUACAGUUGGUCAUACCUCCAGGUGUUUUCAGAAGCAAAUGUAAUCCCUCUAAAGCUUCAAUUCUCAUAUAUAAUAACUUCCAGGGCAAAUGAACAGCCUUGCUCAAAAAUUAUAAGAUGCACAAAGAAAUGACACAAGUGAUGGGGGGAGGGUGUAGCUCAGUGGUAGUGUGUGCUUAGCAUGCACAAGGUCCUGGGUUCAUUCCCCAGUACCUUCAUUAAAAUAAAUACUAAAACCUAAUUACCCACCCCCCAAAUAAAUUAAUUUGUAUGCCACUGAGGUUAAAAAAAAAAAGACCACAAGUGGUAAGGGGGAUAAAAGAGAUGCAGAAGCUGAUCCUUGAAUGCUUCAGGUGAUGACACUAUUACACAGACUAAUGAAAUAACUGUUGAUUAAUGAACUAAAACAAGCUUGAAAAUAAGGACAAUAACCCAGUAGAUUUGGGAGGGCAGGGGGGGAAGCCUUUCUGCAUUAGAAAUGAAAAAUACAAACUUGAAAUAAAAACUCAGAUUAAAUUGGAGAAAUUGAAGGGGUGCUAAUGACUUGGAAAAUCUCAAGAAAUCAUACAGAAUACAGUCCAAAGAAGGAGAAGGAAGAAUGGAAAACAGCAGAGAAGUUGAGAGACAACAGAGGACGUGAGAAUGAGAAGACCUAAUUGCUAUCUGGAGCUCCAGGAGGAGAUCAUAGGAAGAGGCAAUAUUCAAGGAGGUAAUACAGGAUGUCCUGAGGCAGAAGGAAAAUGAUCUCAAAUGGAAAGUGAAAUGCAAGAAGGAACACUGACCAAAGAUAGUGGUCAACGAUGUUGGUGAAAGUAAGUAAGCAAUAACUGUGAAAGCAAUAUGUAGUUUCUGGGAGGGAAAUACGGACUAGAAUUAAAAUACUGGACAACGAUAGCAUGUAACUUGAGGUGAUGAAAGCACUAAUUUUCAUGUUAUAUUCGGGAGGAAAGUAAAGAUAUUGAUUAACUUAAGACUUGUGAAACCAUACAUAUUAGCUAGAAUAACCACUAAAGAAUAGAGCAUGUCACCUUCAAACGUAGAGAUGGAAGAAGGCAAGAGGAGGGUAGGGGAUUAGAUCCGGUUCUACCUCUGACAGAACAAUCUAAGCUUGCAGGGUACCAGUUACAGGAGGUGGUGAGGAGCCUACUUCAAUAUUACGGUACUGGGACAUAGUAUGUGCAGAUGAAGUUAAGUGUGUGCAGGAAAAGGACAGCGAGUGACGUGUGAGAAGGGGUGAAGAGAACAGUUCCAAGACAAUUUCCAUUAGAGCAAAGUUGAAAUAAAAAUUAUUUGCUGGCUGGUGUGUGAGUUGGUCAAUCUGACUUAAAGACAGAAUAUUUUCAUAUCUUGUUGAGUGAAUUGUUCACUUCUCCGGCCCCUCAGGAUAUGGAAACUUAGUUUUAUGCCAGAGGAAGAAGAGUUAAAAGGUUGAAUCUAUGCCCUCAGGUUUCCAGGCCCCAGACCCCCCUGAACAAGAUCCAAACACUAUAUAUAGGAAGAUCAGAAGAGAAGCAAAUCAUCCAAAAAUGAAACAGAUCAAAGCAAACCCUACUCUCUUUGUUGCUAGUUAACUUUUCUUGGUACUGGGAAGUCAUGCAAUCUUUAAAAAAAAAAAAGAAAAAUUGUUCCUAAGCCA